GAGAGCACAGCGGGAUCAGGGCACUCCCCAGCCUCCCAGAGGGCACCCCCAGGAGGGAGGUGCUGCCUGUAUCUUUCUGAAAAUACCAGGGAACGUCGAAGCCCAGGGGUUGCGGAAGCCAGGGGUCGUGCAGCCCCCACCACAGCAAGCACAGCCCGAGGGAAAGCAGGGGCAGAGACUCCAUCAAGGUCAUCGGCACGGCUGAGGCUUCCAGGGUGUGGAAUACAUGGGAGACUGGAUCCAAGGAGCCAGCCCUGGGGCCCUGACAAGGAGGACACACAGGGGACCUUGGGAAGCUGGAGGAGAAACACCUCAGUGAGCUGAGGGAGAACCCGCAGCUCCAACAGGCCCCCGGACAUGUGUCCCCUCUGUCACCAAAUGGGGCCCAUCCUCUCCGUGCUCACAUCCAACCCCAUCCCACACGUGUGAUCCAUGCAGCCACGCUGGGAUCUCAUCUCAUCCCACCCUGCUCCAUCCGUGCUGCCAGUCAGAGCUGGAGAGCCCUCACUCCCAGCACUGUCCCUGCAGCCUCUGCAGGACUUGGAAACCCUUGGAAAACUUUCCACAGCCAUCCCAAAAAUAAUACCCAACGGAGCAGCCGUGAGCCCAUUUGCUAACAGGCCAAAGAAGAUAAAAGAAAUCCUCAGCGGCGGGGAAGAAAUCCCGGGAUUUACAGACAAGCAGCCAAUGGAGUGCAGUGGGAGAAGUGCCACCUUCCCGGCAGCUGCUGGAUCACCAGGAGUUUGCCAAAGCAGCCGGCUAAUUGCCAGGGCUUCGUUUCAGCUGGAUUAAGCGUGGUGCCUUCCGCCGGGAAUGCCGCUCUUGCUGCAACAGGAAUCCUGGGAUCACCUUACAGUCUGUGAUUUCAUACACGGGAGAGGCACUGAGCAGAGGCAAACCAAAGCACCCUCUGGGAUCCAGGGGUGCCAGGGGUGUCACUGCAGCCUCGGGAAGUUUUGGCCGGAGCAGGAUGACAGAGCCAUUGUGGCUUUGAUCUACGACCCAAUCGAUGAACAAAGCACAUCAUUACUACAGAGAUUAAAAUCUGAUCUGCUUUGA